rnacentral:tRNA from 1 species
AGCGGGGUAGAGGAAUUGGUCAGCUCAUCAGGCUCAUGACCUGAGGACUGUAGGUUCGGAUCCUGUCCUCACCU